GAUGAACGCUGGCGGCGUGCCUAAUACAUGCAAGUCGAGCGAACAGACGAGGAGCUUGCUCCUCUGACGUUAGCGGCGGACGGGUGAGUAACACGUGGAUAACCUACCUAUAAGACUGGGAUAACUUCGGGAAACCGGAGCUAAUACCGGAUAAUAUAUUGAACCGCAUGGUUCAAUAGUGAAAGACGGUUUUGCUGUCACUUAUAGAUGGAUCCGCGCCGCAUUAGCUAGUUGGUAAGGUAACGGCUUACCAAGGCGACGAUGCGUAGCCGACCUGAGAGGGUGAUCGGCCACACUGGAACUGAGACACGGUCCAGACUCCUACGGGGGGCAGCAGUAGGGAAUCUUCCGCAAUGGGCGAAAGCCUGGCGGAGCAACGCCGCGUGAGUGAUGAAGGUCUUCGGAUCGUAAAACUCUGUUAUUAGGGAAGAACAAAUGUGUAAGUAACUAUGCACGUCUUGACGGUACCUAAUCAGAAAGCCACGGCUAACUACGUG
rnacentral:rRNA from 1 species